rnacentral:rRNA from 1 species
AGGUUAAGUUACAAAGGGCGCACGGUGGAUGCCUUGGCACUAGGAGCCGAUGAAGGACGGAACUAAUACCGAUAUGCUUCGGGGAGCUAUAAGUAAGCUUUGAUCCGGAGAUUUCCGAAUGGGGGAACCCAGUACACAUCAGUGUAUUGCUUGUCAGUGAAUACAUAGCUGGCCGGCGGCAGACGCGGGGAACUGAAACAUCUCAGUACCCGCAGGAAGAGAAAGAAAACUCGAUUCCCAUAGUAGCGGCGAGCGAAGUGGGAAGAGCCCAAACCGAGAAGCUUGCUUCUCGGGGUUGUAGGACUGGACAUUGGAGUUACCAAAGUCCGACGUAGUCGAAGUCAGCUGGAAAGCUGCGCCACAGAAGGUGAAAGCCCUGUAAGCGAAACGUCGAACCCUCCGUCCAGGAUCCUGAGUACGGCGGAACACGUGAAAUUCCGUCGGAAUCCGGGAGGACCAUCUCCCAAGGCUAAAUACUCCCUAGUGACCGAUAGUGAACCAGUACCGUGAGGGAAAGGUGAAAAGCACCCCGGAAGGGGAGUGAAACAGUUCCUGAAACCGUGUGCCUACAAUUAGUCAAAGCCCGUUAAUGGGUAAUGGCGUGCCUUUUGUAGAAUGAACCGGCGAGUUACGUUUGCUUGCGAGGUUAAGAUGAAAAGUCGGAGCCAUAGCGAAAGCGAGUCUGAACAGGGCGAAUGAGUAAGCAGAUGUAGACCCGAAACCAAGUGACCUACCCAUGACCAGGUUGAAGGUGUGGUGAAACACACUGGAGGACCGAACCCAUGUAUGUUGAAAAAUGCUGGGAUGAGUUGUGGGUAGCGGUGAAAUUCCAAACGAACUUGGAGAUAGCUGGUUCUUCCGAAAUAGCUUUAGGGUUAGCCUCGGAGGAUGGAUCAUGGAGGUAGAGCACUGUUUGAACUAGGGGCCCAUCAAGGGUUACUGAAUUCAGAUAAACUCCGAAUACCAUCGAUCUUACUCCGGGAGUCAGACAGUGAGCGAUAAGGUCCAUUGUCGAAAGGGGAACAGCCCAGAUCACCAGUUAAGGUCCCUAAAUUUAUGCUAAGUGGAAAAGGAUGUGGCGUUGCACAGACAACUAGGAUGUUGGCUCAGAAGCAGCCACCAUUUAAAGAGUGCGUAAUAGCUCACUAGUCGAGUGGCACUGCGCCGAAAAUAUACCGGGGCUAAGCAUAAUACCGAAACUGUGGGUGCACCCGUAAGGGUGCGCGGUAGGAGAGCGUUCUAAGGGCGUUGAAGGUCGAUCGUGAGGACGGCUGGAGCGCUUAGAAGUGAGAAUGCCGGCAUGAGUAGCGAAAGAUCAGUGAGAAUCUGAUCCACCGUAUGACUAAGGUUUCCUGGGGAAGGCUCGUCCUCCCAGGGUUAGUCGGGAUCUAAGGCGAGGCCGAGAGGCGUAGUCGAUGACAAGCAGGUUGAGAUUCCUGCACUAGUUUAUUUUGUUUAAGCGAUGGAGGGACGCAGGAGGCUAAGGAAAGCGCACGGCUGGAAAUGUGCGCCCAAGCAGCAAGUCUGACAGCGAGUGAAAUGCUUGCAGUCUUAAGGACAAGCUGUGAUGGGGAGCGAAAUUAUAGUAGCGAAGUUCCUGAUGUCACACUGCCAAGAAAAGCUUCUAGUGAGAAAUAAACUACCCGUACCGCAAACCGACACAGGUAGUCGAGGAGAGUAUCCUCAGGUGAGCGAGCGAACUCUCGUUAAGAACUCGGCAAAAUGACCCCGUAACUUCGGAAGAAGGGGUGCUGACCGCAAGGUCAGCCGCAGUGAAUAGGCCCAAACAACUGUUUAUCAAAAACACAGGUCUCUGCUAAAUCGUAAGAUGAUGUAUAGGGGCUGACGCCUGCCCGGUGCUGGAAGGUUAAGAGGAUGAGUUAGCGCAAGCGAAGCCCAGAAUUGAAGCCCCAGUAAACGGCGGCCGUAACUAUAACGGUCCUAAGGUAGCGAAAUUCCUUGUCGGGUAAGUUCCGACCCGCACGAAAGGCGUAAUGAUUUGGGCACUGUCUCAACGAGAGACUCGGUGAAAUUAUAGUACCCGUGAAGAUGCGGGUUACCCGCGACAGGACGGAAAGACCCCAUGGAGCUUUACUGUAGCUUGAUAUUGAGUGUUUGUACCGCUUGUACAGGAUAGGUAGGAGCCGUAGAGAUCGGAACGCUAGUUUCGAUGGAGGCGUUGGUGGAUACUACCCUAGCUGUAUGAACACUCUAACCCGCGCCACUAAUCGUGGCGGGAGACAGUGUCAGGUAGGCAGUUUGACUGGGGCGGUCGCCUCCUAAAAUGUAACGGAGGCGCCCAAAGGUUCCCAGAAUGGUUGGAAAUCAUUCGCAGAGUGUAAAGGUAUAAGGGAGCUUGACUGCGAGACUGACAAGUCGAGCAGGGACGAAAGUCGGGCUUAGUGAUCCGGUGGUUCCGUAUGGAAGGGCCAUCGCUCAACGGAUAAAAGCUACCCUGGGGAUAACAGGCUUAUCUCCCCCAAGAGUCCACAUCGACGGGGAGGUUUGGCACCUCGAUGUCGGCUCAUCGCAUCCUGGGGCUGUAGUCGGUCCCAAGGGUUGGGCUGUUCGCCCAUUAAAGCGGUACGCGAGCUGGGUUCAGAACGUCGUGAGACAGUUCGGUCCCUAUCCGUCGCGGGCGCAGGAAAUUUGAGAGGAGCUGUCCUUAGUACGAGAGGACCGGGAUGGACGUUCCGCUGGUGUACCAGUUGUGCCGCCAGGCGCAUCGCUGGGUAGCUAUGAACGGCAGGGAUAAACGCUGAAAGCAUCUAAGUGUGAAGCCCCCCUCGAGAUGAGAUUUCCCAUUCCUAUAUGGAAGUAAGACCCCUGAGAGAUGAUCAGGUAGAUAGGCUGGAAGUGGAAGUGCAGCGAUGCAUGGAGCGGACCAGUACUAAUCGGUCGAGGACUUAACCAAG